rnacentral:rRNA from 1 species
UCGAGCGAGAUCUUCGGAUCUAGCGGCGGACGGGUGAGUAACGCGUGGGAACGUGCCCUUCUCUACGGAAUAGCCCCGGGAAACUGGGAGUAAUACCGUAUACGCCCUUUGGGGGAAAGAUUUAUCGGAGAAGGAUCGGCCCGCGUUGGAUUAGGUAGUUGGUGAGGUAACGGCUCACCAAGCCGACGAUCCAUAGCUGGUUUGAGAGGAUGAUCAGCCACACUGGGACUGAGACACGGCCCAGACUCCUACGGGAGGCAGCAGUGGGGAAUCUUAGACAAUGGGGGCAACCCUGAUCUAGCCAUGCCGCGUGAGUGAUGAAGGCCUUAGGGUUGUAAAGCUCUUUCAGCUGGGAAGAUAAUGACGGUACCAGCAGAAGAAGCCCCGGCUAACUCCGUGCCAGCAGCCGCGGUAAUACGGAGGGGGCUAGCGUUGUUCGGAAUUACUGGGCGUAAAGCGCACGUAGGCGGACUGGAAAGUCAGAGGUGAAAUCCCAGGGCUCAACCUUGGAACUGCCUUUGAAACUAUCAGUCUGGAGUUCGAGAGAGGUGAGUGGAAUUCCGAGUGUAGAGGUGAAAUUCGUAGAUAUUCGGAGGAACACCAGUGGCGAAGGCGGCUCACUGGCUCGAUACUGACGCUGAGGUGCG